rnacentral:miRNA from 1 species
AUCCUCCCUCCCAGACCCUCCCACCUCCUGGACAGCUCACUAAGAAUGCAGCUUCAAAAUAGAUGCUGUCCAGGAGGUGGGAGGGUCUGGGAGGGAGGGU